ensembl:lncRNA
CUUGCGGAGCUCCCCUCAGUACGUGCAGUCCUGAAGCAAGUGUGGGGAGGGACCCCGGGAGGCCCUCGAGCUGCGUUUGGUGUGUGGGGAGCGGCUGGGCCUGAUCAGUGGCCCAAGUCUGCAGCCCUGGGCAGGCGUGAGACGUCGCUGGAGUCUGGAGGGAUGGCAGGUGCUGGCGCCGGCCGGGAUGGUCGAGACGGGGCCAGGAGCUCUCGCCAGCGGGCCAUCCAAGGUCAGGGUGCCGAGAGCGCGACAGGUCAGGAAGGGAAGGCCAUCCUUGGGCCGGAGGCACCUGCUGGCGGGGAGGCCGGGCCGGGUUGACGGGGCGCUGGGGUGGCGCUCGGCAGGUCUGCUUCCUUCGCCCUCCUCCUUCAGCCACCCUGGGGACGCGGUUAUGUCAUCCGUUUCUGGUCCUGCAUUCUAGUGUUUACUGCGAACUGUCACUGCCCAGAGGUGUCCCGACGCUCUUGAACAGCGUGUGGCUCCUCCGGGAACCACGUCACACAGGACAGAGGUCUCGGAGAUGAGCAAACAGCUCUGGGCGUUCCUGUCGUGGCUCAGUGGAAAUGCAUCUGAUCAGCAUCCAUGAGGACACAGGUGGCAGGAGCCCCUUCCCCAGAGCCAGCUCUCCCAGGGACAGGGGCGGGGCUCCCAGGCGCCUCCUCGGAGCGGACGGCAGAUGGGGUCAUCCCCUCAUGUCCUCAGGUAAGAAAGUCCUCGUUCCCGUCCUGAGUUCCCAGGGCCCAGGGCCUGCAGUUAGGUCCCCAUCAGCGGAAAAAGGCACAAGGGCCAGCCUUUUGGGGACAGGACAGCACGAUGGAGGCAAAGGAGCAUAAAGAGUCUCAGACGACCAGACACCUGUGCAGGUGACCACGCGCCCACAGGUGCCAGAGCAGAGCCUGGUGCCGGGAGCGCGGUGUCUUCACCUCGCAACCGGUGACCGUGGGACCGAGGCCUGUCCCUCCCAGGGGAUCUGCCAGGAGGCAGGAAGCAAGUCCCAAGGACAUGUCCGCAUCGGAUCAGAGGUUGGUGACAAGGCUGAGACUGCGCGUCCCAGCCACGGUCAUGGCAAGGGGAGUGCGAGGAGGGUCUGAGUGGCCCAGAAAAGGAGGGAGAGCCAUCCCGGAACGUCAGAAAAUGGCCUCAGAUUCCUGGAAUCAUCCUGCCCCCUCUGGGGUCCGGUUCUCAGGAUCUGCGUCUGGUGAACAGAGCUGAUCCUUGGCAUCACAGCCCACCCCAGACCCCGGAGACCUGACACCUCAGGCACCAGCUCAAACCCCCGUGUGGAAGCCUCAGUGCAGUCUCCGCUGCCUGCCCUUGAGAUGUCUGGAGCGCCCAUCUCAGUUGCCCAGAGAGUUGCCUCCAAUUCUACUUCUUCCUCGUCUUUCUUGAAAACACAAACUGGACACCAUAGUUCUUUACGUGGGCAUAGUGCGUAAGGAUUUCUCCAGCACAGGGUUCGAUCAGUGAGGAUCAGAAAAUGCCACAGCUCGGAAACAGAAGACACCCGCUCCUGAGUGGUUGGAGGCAGAUCUGAACCCAGAGCCACGGGAACCAACAGACCGCGUGAGCGCAGCCGCUUCUGCGCCCUUGGCACCCGUCAGCGCGGCUGGUGGAGGACUUCGCAGCCGCUGAGGCCCUGCUGGUUGUCCCUUCACCCUCUGAGAAACGCGCAGUCGAGCAGGGGGAGACCAGGGGCCUGGCUGUAACCGCCCACGCGCAGCACACACGUGGGGUCCCUUUUGGCGUUACCCCGCCUCGGCGACAGGCCCAGGUAGGGUUCCAAGGCACCGCAGUAACACGGUGAGGGUGCUGUUCCCCUCCCCGCGAUGGACACGGGCACAGGACGCCGUGGCGGCGGGGGUCGCGCUGGCUGGUGAGCGGGUGUGCCGUGUGCGCAGCACCUGCCGGCGCCCAACACCGAAACCAGGGUGCCCCCCGCCCCGGCGGGGCCGGCGCCCACUUACCGCGGCGGCGAAGCAGCGCCGCAGGGCUUCGAACUCUUGCGCGCAAAGGUCCUUGGUCAGGCGGCCGCCCGGGGCGGUGGAUGCCUGCACGCCCCUGCCGUAGGCCGCGGCCUGGGGACAGGACGGGGACGGGCGAGGAUCGCGGCGGCCCUUGCGCC